GCUACUGUGCUCCCACGCAGUAUUCUCUAUCAUGUCACAGAGGUCUCAUUUAUCCACAGUGAAAAAUGGGCAUGAUGGCAUUGUUCAGUUUAGGCCAAGCUGUAGAUCACUUCUGUAGGUUUUUAGCUGGCUUGUUUUUCUUCUCCAUUGGCUCUGAUGUGUAAGUUGCAUUUUUGGCAAACGUGCACACUAUUUGAAACAGCAGAGCAAGCAUCCAGUGUGAAAAGUGUCAAAAUUAUCUCUCUUUUUAAAAGAAGAUGACUUUCCAUCUGUGUCACUUGGCGUCUUUAUUUGGCUGCUAGGAAAGAAGUCUUCUCCUUGCUUUCAAGACAGUGAACAUGGCACUUGAUCUCCUUGAUGACAGAACAGGUUUUGAUAAGGGCAGAAGUUUCCUAACAAUGUACUUCCAUGCUUCUAAAUGUUUUCAUGCUGGCAAUAACAUUUACUCUGUACUGUAGAGGUUCUUGUGACUGUGGGGAAGUGAACACGAAGAUUCAGAUGGCCCCUUUCAGUGCUACAGUCCUGAAGGCUUCACUUUUUAAAAAAAUCUUAUUGGAAUAUUUUCACAACCUAUUGGAAAGUGAGAAUCACCUUGGCUCAGAAAAGCAGCAAAACAACAUCUGGCAACAUUGAUGGAUUUUAUUAUGCUUGAUCAAAAUUUCAUCUUGCUGUUUGCAUUUCUGGCUCUGUAAAGUGUUUGUAUUAAUUACCUGAAUUCCAGUGUCAUUUAUAUUGUUAACAACAAUUGAGAUGCAGUUGUAUUAUCACUCAGGAUAUAAUAAUGCUUCCAAACAAUAAAAAAUAAAAGGGUAUGAGGGUAUGUUGUUGGUUUUAAUGAUCUUUACAACCUUUCAGUAUUAAAUAAAACAUUUCCACAGAACCCAUGUGAUGAACCCAUGAUUAAAUAUCCAUGAACCAAGAACCAAUAUCCAAGAACCCAUGA